rnacentral:misc_RNA from 1 species
GAUGAAGAACGCAGUGAAAUGCGAUAAGUAAUGUGAAUUGCAGAAUUCAGUGAAUCAUCGAAUCUUUGAACGCACAUUGCGCCCGCCAGUAUUCUGGCGGGCUUGCCUGUCUGAGCGUCAUUUCAACCCUCAUGCCCCUAGGGCGUGGUGUUGGGGAUCGGCCAAAGCCCGCGAGGGACGGCCGGCCCCUAAAUCUAGUGGCGGACCCGUCGUGGCCUCCUCUGCGAAGUAGUGAUAUUCCGCAUCGGAGAGCGAUGAGCCCCUGCCGUUAAACCCCCAACUUUCCAAGGUUGACCUCAGAUCAGGUAGGAAUACCCGCUGAACUUAAGCAUAUCAAUAAGCGGAGGA